GCCUGAUGCAGCAACGCCGCGUGAGGGACGACGGCCUUCGGGUUGUAAACCUCUUUUAGCAGGGAAGAAGCGAAAGUGACGGUACCUGCAGAAAAAGCACCGGCUAACUACGUGCCAGCAGCCGCGGUAAUACGUAGGGUGCAAGCGUUAUCCGGAAUUAUUGGGCGUAAAGAGCUCGUAGGCGGUUUGUCACGUCUGCUGUGAAAACUGGAGGCUCAACCUCCAGCCUGCAGUGGGUACGGGCAGACUAGAGUGCGGUAGGGGAGAUUGGAAUUCCUGGUGUAGCGGUGGAAUGCGCAGAUAUCAGGAGGAACACCGAUGGCGAAGGCAGAUCUCUGGGCCGUAACUGACGCUGAGGAGCGAAAGGGUGGGGAGCAAACAGGCUUAGAUACCCUGGUAGUCCACCCCGUAAACGUUGGGAACUAGUUGUGGGGUCCAUUCCACGGAUUCCGUGACGCAGCUAACGCAUUAAGUUCCCCGCCUGGGGAGUACGGCCGCAAGGCUAAAACUCAAAGGAAUUGACGGGGACCCGCACAAGCGGCGGAGCAUGCGGAUUAAUUCGAUGCAACGCGAAGAACCUUACCAAGGCUUGACAUAUACGAGAACGGGCCAGAAAUGGUCAACUCUUUGGACACUC
rnacentral:rRNA from 1 species